CUGAGGCUCAGAGAGAAGGGGCAGCUGGGAGGGUUCAGUCAGCUCAGAAAAGCAAAGGGAAUAGCAUGUGCAAAGGCCAAGGGUGGAGAGGCUACCUGGAGAUUCUAAAGCGUGGGUCAGAUCUCAACCCUCCCUGGAUUAAAACCCUUUUGUGGCUCCCUAGUGCCCCCCUAUAACAUCGAAACUCCUUAAUUCA